GCUGGGCGUGUUGGCACAUGCCUGUAAUCCCAGCAGCUUGGGAGGCUGAGACAGGAGGAUCAGGAGUUCAAAGCCAGCCUCAGUAAUGGUGGGGUGCCAAGCAACUCAGUGAGACCCUAUCUCUA
rnacentral:sRNA from 1 species